CAACUUUCAGCAACGGAUCUCUUGGCUCUCSCAUCGAUGAAGAACGCAGCGAAAUGCGAUAAGUAAUGUGAAUUGCAGAAUUCAGUGAAUCAUCGAAUCUUUGAACGCACCUUGCGCCCUCUGGUAUUCCGGAGGGCAUGCCUGUUUGAGUGUCAU
rnacentral:rRNA from 1 species